rnacentral:lncRNA from 1 species
AAGAAGUAACAGAAUAACUUGCAUCAUGAGUCAACCCAAACAAUCUCAAAAAUCAUCAAAUAAAUCACAUUCAAUCCUAGCAUCUAGCAUGGUAAGCAUGUCAAAUUUCAUGGCAUUUGGAUGAGAGGAAAGCAGUCAAUGAAAUCAAGAAGUCAAACCAAAUUUAAGCAUGCAUAAUGAAGGUCAAUAAUCAUGGGUCAACUUCAAAAAAUCAUAACAAAAUGAAAACAGAUGAGAAAUAAAUGAGAUCAACACCAAAUGCAAAGCUUGAGAUGUC